UACGUAGGGGGCGAGCGUUGUUCGGAUUUACUGGGCGUAAAGAGCGCGUAGGUGGUUCGAUCAGUCGGAGGUGAAAGCCCUCGGCUCAACCGAGGAUCCGCGUCCGAUACUGUCGAACUUGAGUGCAGGAGAGGAGAGCGGAAUUCCCAGUGUAGCGGUGAAAUGCGUAGAUAUUGGGAGGAACACCGGUGGCGAAGGCGGCUCUCUGGACUGCUACUGACACUGAGGCGCGAAAGCUAGGGGAGCAAACGGG
rnacentral:rRNA from 1 species